AGACAACACGGACAUUCAUAGUGC
rnacentral:siRNA from 1 species